rnacentral:lncRNA from 10 species
GUGUGGAACUUGGGAUUCGAACGGCAGGCGGGAAGUGCUCUAGCAGGGGAGUCUGACCUUGUGAGGGAAUACCUGUGUCCCCCCUUUUUUCCCCUUUUUACCCAAUAAAACCCUGCCUUACUCACCCUUUAAAUCAUCUGCGAGCCUGAAUUUUCAUGGCCGUGGGACGGACAAGAACUUUAUCUUCAGCUGAACUAAGAAAAAGUCCUGCAACAUUUUUGGCGCGCAAUGUGGGGGCACCAGAAGCGGGCACCGUUGAGCUGUUGCAACUGUUCUGCUGGUAAGUGCUUUUAUGUGCUUGAGAGAAGUGGAGUGGAAACUAAUUUUUCUGUGACCCAUAAUUUUAUAAUUUGUAUUUUUAAGAAAUAAUCCAUUUUCAAAGUCACUCUCCCUUAAGUCUUCAUCUUUUGUUCUAACUUACUUCCUGUAUUAGAUUUGUCUUAAAAUUAAAUGAAAA